GACGUAGACCCGAAACCGGGCGACCUACCCAUGAGCAGGAUGAAGCGAAAGUAAAAUUUCGUGGAGGUCCGAACCCACGAGCGUUGAAAAGCUCGGGGAUGACUUGUGGGUAGCGGUGAAAUUCCAAUCGAGCCCGGAGAUAGCUGGUUCUCCCCGAAAUAGCUUUAGGGCUAGCCUCAAGGUGAGAGAUACGGAGGUAGAGCACUGAAUGUCCUAGGGGGUAUUGCACCUACCGAAGACUAUCAAACUCCGAAUGCCGUCAUCUUAUACUUGGGAGUCAGACUGUGGGUGAUAAGAUUCAUAGUCGAAAGGGCAACAGCCCAGAUCGUCAGCUAAGGUCCCUAAAUGUAAGUUAAGUGGUAAAGGAUGUGGGAUUGCACAGACAACCAGGAUGUUGGCUUAGAAGCAGCCACUCAUUCAAAGAGUGCGUAAUAGCUCACUGGUCGAGUGAUCCUGCGCCGAAGAUUUCCGGGGCUAAAACUUACUACCGAAGCUACGGCAUCAGUAAUGAUGGGUAGGGGAGCUUCCCAUACGGGUUGAAGCAUGACCGUAAGGACAUGUGGACAGUAUGGGAGUGAGAAUGUUGGCAUGAGUAGCGAGAUGUGGGUGAGAAUCCCACAGGCCGUAAACCCAAGGUUUCCAGGGGAAGGUUCGUCCGCCCUGGGUUAGUCGGGACCUAAGCUGAGGCCGA
rnacentral:rRNA from 1 species